UAUAUGUGAAUGUAGAUGCUGCAACAAAAGAUAGCUCGAAGGCAAUUGAUAGGCCACUCUUUGGGGACUUCUGGGAAAGAUUCAUUGUUAGUAUUUCAUUCUUGAAAGCUUAGAAACUUGAGCUCAAACAUUUACAUGGGGACUGUGGAACGAACGUCCUCUUCAAACUUGAAUUCAUAUUGAUUUGAUCUGGAACUUACCAUGCUAUGGAGGAAAUAUUGGCAGUUGCCUUAAAUCUCAAUUUGAAACAUCUUUCUAACAGCCAUUUUUGAUGAUUUUUCUUUGGCUGGCAUGGCGUUACUGUUUUCUUAUUGCUAACAUCUGUUUUUUUAGGAUUCCUUGACAGCUCUCAAAGAAAAGCAACAACAAACUGUAUAUCGCUUGACUGUCGUGAAAGGGUGGAAUAGAGAAGAUGUAGAUGUAAAAAGCAUUGGGAAGCCUAGUUUUGUUGAAAUCAAGACAUACUGUGGAUCGGAAGUCUUUUGCUCAGUCAUGAUGAUCUUUUUUACAGUUCUGCCACAUCAAAGUUAACGGUGCAGAAUGUGUCAUGGCAUUCUAAUGUGAAGGUUUUCUCAGAGGCAUUGAGUCUUAAAAGUGAAGGGGAGUAUGAGGGUUUAUGUGAACAUGCACACUCAUGCAGUGUCCUGUCAAAAACCAGAAAGGUCAAGGUCAAUGUCCUAUUGUAUACAUGGUGGCUUCAGGAAGACCUUUCAACAGCGAGGAUUAUAUGGCUCUCACUCCAUCCUGGGCCAUCUAUGGAGCCGAGGAAAGUAGAUAUUAUCCCAAUCAAUCCUGGUACAGGAAAAAAGUGACAUCAAAAGUGAAAAAGUUAAGUAAUUCAGAAUUAUAUCAGUAUCGGGCAGCAUAAUCCAUUUCGGGUUAUCAUUUUCUUUGCAUUUUUACAGUUUUGCUUUAUGUGGCUAUGCUUACGGAUAAAAAGUCUGAUUGCCUGUAGCUUUAUUGUAGUCAUAUUCUCUGAAAACAAUUUUAACUUCAGCCAUUUUAGUUGUAGAGCUCAUGAUGUAAGUGGCUCAAUUAUGUGUUUUUAGUACAAAUGAGGUUAGAGUUUCAAA